CACCAGGAUUUGAAUCUACAGCAUUUGGACAGGCAACACAUACAGCAGGAGGAGGGUUAUUUGGGCAGAGUUUGACAGGAACUGGCACAAGGACUUGUCUCUAUGGUGGAAGUGUAGGGUCAGCAUUUGGGACACAGUCAUCAGGAUUUAAUUUCGGUGCAACCCCUAGCAGUAUAGGUGGACUGUUUGGACAGAAGACUACAGCCAACACUGGCCUGUUUGGCACACCAGCUGCAGCUAGCACCACAGGUGGAUUUGGAGCUACAACAACAACUGGCAGCAGUGAAGCUUGCCUGUUUGGAAUGACAAAUAAUGCAGGCAACGGGCUCUUUUUGGCAAGUCCAGUAGCCCAAAACUGGUACAGCCAUCAAAUUUAAUCCACCCCCAGGGUCAGGAUAUCCACCCCCAGGGUCAGGAUAUGAUGGUAAAGAAUGAUGUAACACAGAAUAUCAAUACAAAACAUCAGUGUAUCACUGCAAUGAAAGAAUAUGAGGGGAACAGUCUGGAGUGAACCAUACUGAAGCUGGACACCGAAGUAUGUCAAAACAGAAAUCCUUGUCGCCACCAGUUACUCAAAAUAUAGACGUCUCCUCCAGAACAUCUUCAGGGCUUGGAUUUGGAACCCCUGCGGCAUCGGCCACACAACCUAUGGGCUUUGCCUUUGCACAGGCCAAACCAUCAGGGUUUGGAGCAUCAACUGGAUUUGGAACAAACACCUCAACAGGAACCAGUAAUCUGUUUGGUCAGCCAACCACACACGCAUCAACUGGUGGGGGACUGUGUGGUCAGAACAAGCCCUUGUUUGGCAACACAACCUCUACUACACAGAGUGGGUUUGAAUUUGGAACUCAGACAAGCACAGGAACUGGUGGUCACUUUGGUCAAGCAACACAUAAUAAGGGAUAUUUUGUGAAAGUAAUCAAAUCUUGACAUUUCCGGGUGGAUUGUUUGCAAACAAGUCUGCAUUUGGAGCCCAGACUUCCUCCACUGGCGGGUUCAGAGGAUUUGGAACCAACACUAACACGGGCCAACCUUUUUGUCAAACCAUUCUCUACACCCAGUACAGGAUUUGGAUUCAACACUGCAACCACUCCAUCUGUAUUUGAUGGAACACAGCACUUUGGUGCAGCAAAACCAGCUAGCUUUAGCCUAACAACAACCUCAGCAGCUCCAGCAUUCUGAUGAUUCAACUUUACAGAGGGAAUGAGCACAGGAACCAGUAUGUUAGGGAAUACACUGAAUCAACUUGGGACUUGGUGCCUUUGGCUCAGCUGCCCCUACAGGUUUUUGGACAUUCAGUAGUGCAACUUCUGGUCUUGGUAAAACCGCCUCUGUAGCUUAGUGGUAGAGUAUCUGCUUCGAGUGUGGGAGGUUGUGGGUUCGAUCUUUGGCGGCAUCAUACCAAAGGCGUAAAAAAUGGUACUCGUAGCUUUCUCGCUAGAUGCUCAGCAUUAAGAAGAUAGUGCUAGGACUGGUCAGCCCGGUUUCAGUAUAAUGUGACUGGGUGGGGUAUGCCAUGUGUCUAUGGCAUCUUAUUCCAGUGAGGCAGUACUAUAAAGUUGGGCAUUGUGCUCAUUGCUACAAGUAGACCCAGUCAUUUAUAUGACUGAAAAAAUGUUGAAAAAGAUGUUAAACUCGAACACACACACACUUCUGGUCUUGUCAGUACAGUUCUCACACUAGGAGGGACAGCAAAUCAAGCUGCAGUCAGCCAGACAGCUCAGCUACAACAGAUGCUGCUAGCACUUACACAUACGAUGUUUCUCCAUUUUUCUGGAACAUGAAAGAGAGUAAGAUCAAAGGGGAAGAUGUUCUGAAACCCACCGACCCAGUGGCACAGAAAACCAUUCUGGCUAAUCAGCAUAAAGUGUGUCUGAGACCUUUGGCAAAGAUCAGACCCAAGGCUUUGUCUGGAGCACUGAAUGGUAACAAGCCUCAGAUAUUUGAAAGCUUGGAAGAUGAUUAUUUCUGUUUUGGAAGUGACACAUUCCAGCCAAGGAAGAGUGUUAAGAAACUGACAAUUAAAACGUUGGGAUAAGAUUCAAGUAACCCAAGCAGAGCCUCAUCUAUGAGUGGUGAACCUGCAAACAUGUCUUCUUUAAGGGAAAAAGAGAAUUUCAGGGGAAGGUCCUCUCCUGUUGCAUACAAUAAACAGAGAAGACAGGAGGUUGAUGUUCCUGAAACUGAGAAUAUCAUCAGAAGUACAAACAUCUCUGAUCAGAUAGAUACACCAGAUAGAAGGCCGAACAUGGAUGACACAGUUGCUAUAUUGAAUGCGCAGAAUAAAUCUUCUAGCAUUAGGGAACCAGUUAGUUCCAGUGCAAGAGAACCAGUCAAUUCCAGACUAAUUUGCAGGAUGACACAGUCAAUAUCAGCAUCAUUUCCAUAACGGUGAUGUCAGUAUAGAUGAGAGACCAAUGACAAUGCCACCCCCACACCCAGCGGGUAUUGUUACUAUCAAAACCUGGGUAUUACACAGUACCGAGUCAGGAGGCAUUCUCAGAGAUGGUGGAUGAAUA